AAUGAGUUUGUGUAUUUAUUGAUUGAUGAAUUGUUAUUGCUUUUUGCUGUAACUAUCGAUGAAUAGUUACUGCUUUUUGCUGGAAUGAGAUAGGAUCAACAGCAAUAAAGCAUCUAGCUUUUAUUUUUAUAGAUGCAUAUUCUAAGAAGCUCUAGGCAAGUACGUAGGUUAGGUUGCUCUGGAAGGAAGGCUUUUUGUUUUUUUUAAAUGAAAAUUUACUUGAACUCUUUUCAUUGCUUCUGAGUCACAUGUCCCAAAUUGCUCUGUAAUCUUUCACUGAAAAAUAAUUUGGAGAUUUAUCAGAGAAAAGCUUAAUGGAGUUUCAUACUUGACCAUAACUUCCCACUGCCUUUCUUCUAGGACCUCUUCAGGGAGAAAUUGAUGGCUCAAAAGGUUCACCAACACCUCCCGGAUCCCAUCAUCCCCUCAGCCUGAGUGCAGCUCCUACUACUGCUGCUGCUCCGAGGAGCCGGGUUUGUACGUAGUCAGCAGGUAAUAAAUACAUCCGUAGACUGGCUCCUCCAUCUGGACCAACGACCUUGCUUCUAGGUGACUCAGUGAGUGGAGAUCAAGCCUCAGAUGCUCUUUCUGCAGUGGAGUCACAUUCUCAUGUCCUGUCUUCAUCUGUAAACUGUGCAUACCACUGAUAACUACCUGAUUCAAGGCUCAGUUGAAAUGACCCAGGUGAAGCUUCUUCCCAGCAAGGAUCUCAUUAAUGAACUUGGUCCCCUUCUUUGAUGAACGUUUGGACACUGACAGGAACCCAGAAAUUUAAAAAUCGGAAGCCAGUGAUUGGAGUUAUGUUGAAAAAGGCACACCAGGAUCUGGAUUGCUUCUUCUCUGUAAGUUAGAAAUGGCGAC
rnacentral:lncRNA from 1 species